UGGGGAAUCUUGGGCAAUGGGGGAAACCCUGACCCAGCAACGCCGCGUGAAGGAUGAAGUAUUUCGGUAUGUAAACUUCGAAAGAAUAGGAAGAAUAAAUGACGGUACUAUUUAUAAGGUCCGGCUAACUACGUGCCAGCAGCCGCGGCAAUACGUAGGGACCAAGCGUUGUUCGGAUUUACUGGGCGUAAAGGGCGCGUAGGCGGCAUGACAAGUCACUUGUGAAAUCUCUGGGCUUAACCCAGAACGGCCAAGUGAUACUGUCGCGCUAGAGUGCAGAAGGGGCAAUCGGAAUUCUUGGUGUAGCGGUGAAAUGCGUAGAUAUCAAGAGGAACACCUGAGGUGAAGACGGGUUGCUGGGCUGACACUGACGCUGAGGCGCGAAAGCCAGGGGAGCAAACGGGAUUAGAUACCCACGUAGUCCCUGAGCGGGCUGGCAAGGCGCAU
rnacentral:rRNA from 1 species